GACGUAACCGAGCUGUGUAAUAAUUAUAUUGCGAGUAAUAUGCAAUGUGUAAUAAUUUCUAUCUGAUUAAUUAUUCGUGCUACAAUGAUAUUAAUAUAAACAAAUAUAAAUAUAAAUAUAUAUAUAUAUAUUAUAAUUUCAUAAUUUACACAUAUGAAUGUAUAAUUGGCUAUAAAAAAAUCCUUCAUUACACGUUUUAGUAUGGUUUAUUUUUAAACUAGUAUAAGCAUAAAUAUGAAAUGGGUAAAGUGUUAAAUACAUGUUAAAAAUAGAUUUUGUUAUAUCUAGCGUAUUUAUUAAUACACUUAUCAUGACUGUAUUGUAAAACGAUAAAUAUUCUUUAAAAAUAGAUUUCCAAUCAUUAUCUUUACUGACAUAGAAUUUUUUAUUAUAUAAAUUGCAUCGAAUAUUUAUAAUUCAUGAUAUUUUUAUGACCAAUAUCUUUACAUUCAAAAAUUUCUCAAAUAAGUUGAGAAGAUGUUACUAAUGAGCCUUAUUAUUUUAUAAAGAUUUUGAACAAAAUUUUCUUUUCAAAAUCAAGUUUCGAUUAUCCUUAAAAAGAGAAUUCCAGAUUCACAAUUCGGAUCAAUGGUAAAAAGCGAAGCCAUUAUUCGAACUGACGGACCGGUAAAUCAAACCAAUUAAAUAGAAACUUACUUUAUAAUUGAACGAAUAAAAAACUUUUAUUUUAUUUCUAUAUCGAGAUGCAUUGGAUUAAAUAUAAAUAAGAUAAAAUCUGGUGGAAAGUCUUAAAAUUAGCUAUUAUUUUAUUAAAUCUAUAUAACGAUUUUUAAAACGAGUUUUAAAAAAAUUUUAUCUUAAGCUAUCGACAAUAUUCAUGGAACAUCAGUUAUCAUUAUAUCGAGGGAUCAUUAUCUUUUUAAAUAAGUGUCACGUAACGGUCUUAUAUCGAUCACAUGGAUCGAAACGAAAAUGAUUUCGGUGCAGGUGCAUCGUACAAAACCGAUAGAAUAGGAAUUAAUACGGUGCCACGUGCACCGGAAGAACGCGUCUAGGGAAAGGAGAAUUUAUGAUAUCGAUUAUCAUAGGAAUGCAAUUUAUUACACAAAUUGAAUUCGAAUGUAUAACUAUGAGAAGGAAGUCAGUGGACGAAUAGAAUACGGUUUACAUCGUUUUGUCGUUACGUUUAAGUUAUGUACAGAUAAUUUUAAGAAGAGAAUCUUAGAAAAUAUUAAAUAAAGUUUUGAAUACUUUAAGAUACUUUUUGAAUUCAUUGUAAAUGGAGUAGAAUAAAUACGUGCAGAAAUUUAAAAUUCUAAGUAUAAUCCAUCCAAUUUUAACUCUAACAAUCAUUUGCAAUGUUUGCCAGGUUGGCAAGUUUUAUAAACGAUUAUUAUAUUUUAUCGUAUAUUUUUCUAUCUAAAAAAGAAACGACUUUUUUUGGUUACCCAAUUCUUUCAAGUAUAAAAUAUACUCGAUGAAUAUUCAACAUUGAUGCGUUUAAAACGAAAUUUCGCCCGACGAAAUAUUGCAUUAAUUUCUCGCGAUCUCAUGUCUAUUUUUAGCAGACACCCGAUAUAUUUCAUAAAUCCUUACGAAACGACACAGCUCGCGCGCAAAAAGGAAAUAAUUCGAUCGGUGAUUCGCGGGCUCUGCAUUAAUCUUGCAGCGUAUUGCCGCUCCCUCUUUCCCCGUCUUCAUUAUCUUUGAUCCCUUUACCUUGAAUUUUACUUGAAAAAUUGUCGUCGUAUAACACGAAGAAAAAAACGAUAAAGAGAAAAGGAAGAAAAGUGGUCGAUAAAAGAACGAAAGAGAUGGGAGGGGCAAAAAAAAAAAAUGUUAACUAUCGAUUCGAAAAAAUUGAAUGAAAAAUGUAACGAAAAAAAGAGCGAUGAGAAAUUAGAAUGAAAGUAAUCAAAUGAGAAAAUUUCAAAUAAUUGUAAAAUAAAGUGUGAUUGAAAUUUCUAACUUACAAAUAUAUAUUUAUAACAAUUUGAAGUGCGAUAAUUAUUUUAAAAAAUUCUUAAGAACAGAGAUUAAAUAAUAGAACGUAGUUUGUAAAGUUAUUUCUAUGUUAUCAUUAUUAUUUCUAUUCACUUUGAUUUCUUGAUAACAAACCGGAAUAAAUUCUACUAACCCUUUAUUACAUUGUUUAUUACAUUAUAUAACAACAUCGAUAUUAUGGAAAUAUAAAAAUUUAUAUCGCAAUUUCUUCUUCAGAUUUUAUAUUAAAUUUUGUUGUUUUUUUUUUUAAUAUUACAAUAAAAAGAAAGUUGCAAGAUUCGACUUAAUAUUUCUUCUUUUAUUUAGGCUUUUAUCUGAAUUCUAUAAUUUUGUAGAAUUUCAAAGAAAUUGAAUAUAUAUUUUGAAGAGUUAUUCGAAAUGUUAGCUUUUUUGUCGAAAUUAUCGUAUUUUUAUAAUCUAUAAAUCAUAUUAUACAUGUCUCUAAAUUGUUAAUAUUCUUCGUUAUAAUACUGCAUAUACGAUACCUAUGAAUAAUUAAAUGAUAAUAGCAACUGAUUAUCACAUAGAGUGUAAUUUACUACGCGAAAAUAAAGAAUUUGAAAAAGGAAAAAAAAA